AGAGGAAAAAUGGAUUGUUUUCCUCAAACAUAGUUACAAUAACAGGAAAAAGAUGUACAAGAUGGCUGCUAUACAGUAAACAAAUACAAAGCGAUGUUGCCAUGGACCCUUAAACUGAAGAAAAUAUUCACGUGUAAGAUAUAAGUGAUGUUGGAUGCGGGGGGAGGAGGGAGGAUUCAUUCUAACAGUGUACCAUGGUCUUAGCCCUUAGGUGGUGUUCCAAAUAUCUCUUUCUACUCUUAAUCAUGUUAGUAG